rnacentral:rRNA from 1 species
AGCGAUGCCGCGUGAGCGAGGAAGGCCUUCGGGUCGUAAAGCUCUGUUGUCAGGGAAGAACAAGUACCGUUCGACAAGGGUGGUACCUUGACGGUACCUGACGAGAAAGCCCCGG